rnacentral:rRNA from 1 species
AACGAACGCUGGCGGCAUGCCUAACACAUGCAAGUCGAACGAGACCUUCGGGUCUAGUGGCGCACGGGUGCGUAACGCGUGGGAAUCUACCCUCAGGUUCGGAAUAACUCAGAGAAAUUUGAGCUAAUACCGGAUGAUGACGUAAGUCCAAAGAUUUAUCGCCUGAGGAUGAGCCCGCGUAGGAUUAGGUAGUUGGUGAGGUAAAGGCUCACCAAGCCGACGAUCCUUAGCUGGUCCGAGAGGAUGAUCAGCCACACUGGGACUGAGACACGGCCCAGACUCCUACGGGAGGCAGCAGUGGGGAAUAUUGGACAAUGGGCGAAAGCCUGAUCCAGCAAUGCCGCGUGAGUGAUGAAGGCCUUAGGGUUGUAAAGCUCUUUUACCCGGGAUGAUAAUGACAGUACCGGGAGAAUAAGCGCCGGCUAACUCCGUG